rnacentral:rRNA from 1 species
CCUGACUGCUAUCGGAUUGAUACUAAGCCAUGCGAGUCUUUGCAGUAAUGCAAGGCAUACGGCUCAGUAACACGUAGUCAACUUACCCUAUGGACGAGGAUAAUCUCGGGAAACUGAGCAUAAUACUCGAUAGAUCAUAAUGCCUGGAAUGGUUUAUGGUUAAAAUGAUUCGUCGCCAUAGGAUGGGACUGCGGCCUAUCAGCUUGUUGGUGAGGUAAUGGCCCACCAAGGCGAUUACAGGUACGGGCUCUGAGAGGAGAAGCCCGGAGAUGGGUACUGAGACAAGGACCCAGGCCCUAUGGGGCGCAGCAGGCGAGAAAACUUUGCAAUGUGCGAAAGCACGACAAGGUUAAUCCGAGUGAUUUCUGCUAAAGAAAUCUUUUGCCAGUCGUAAAAACGCUGGUGAAUAAGGGGUGGGCAAGUUCUGGUGUCAGCCGCCGCGGUAAAACCAGCACCUCAAGUGGUCAGGAUGAUUAUUGGGCCUAAAGCAUCCGUAGCCGGCUUUGUAAGUUUUCGGUUAAAUCCAUGUGCCCAACGCAUGGGCUGCCGAAAAUACUGCAUAGCUAGGGAGUGGAAGAGGUAGACGGUACUCAGUAGGUAGGGGUAAAAUCCUUUGAUCUAUUGAUGACCACCUGUGGCGAAGGCGGUCUACCAGAACACGUUCGACGGUGAGGGAUGAAAGCUGGGGGAGCAAACCGGAUUAGAUACCCGGGUAGUCCCAGCUGUAAACGAUGCAGACUCGAUGAUGCAUUGGCAUAAUAGCCAUUGCAGUGUCGCAGGGAAGCCGUUAAGUCUGCCGCCUGGGAAGUACGUACGCAAGUAUGAAACUUAAAGGAAUUGGCGGGGGAGCACCACAAGGGGUGAAGCCUGCGGUUC